UCCUUUCCCACAAAAUUUCAGGAACACAGCGCCUCAUCCCCCCAAAUCUAAAAUUUCAGGAACACAGCGCCUCAUCCCCCCAAAUCUUCAACUCCAAGCUCUUACUCCUCCCUCCACCGCCUCCCCCUCCUCUCCCUCUCCCUCCUCAAGCUCACCCCAUGGCCAACUCUGAGUCCCCCAUGGCCACAGAAUCCCAACUCCAAAACCCUAACCCUAACCCCAAACCCCAAUUGCCCUCUCGCCCCCACCGCACCCAUGGCCGCGUCCUCAACCGCCCUCUUAACGCCGCUGGUGACGUCCGCCGCCACUACGACUUCCUCCGCGAGCUCGGCCGCGGCCAGUUCGGCGUCACCUACCUCGUCGCCGACAAGAUGACCGGCGAUCGCUUCGCCUGCAAGUCGAUCCCCCCGCCACCCUCUCUCUCUCUCUCUGUUUUUUUUAAACUUAUUAGUGUUUCUGCCUUACAAGUAUCAAUUCUGAUCAACAGCUUAGUUUGAUUCAAUGAUCUGAAAUGCUAUAUGAAAACCCUAAAGCAAAUAAAGCUGAACUCAGAGCCUCUCAAGUACUUGAAUAUUUUCCAAUUCGGCAUCGACCAAAGCCCCGAAAACUCAAAUCUUUUUUGCUACUCGCUAGUUCCUCCUUCCAUUGCGCACAAAUAGAAACAGAAUGUCAGCGGCAAGCGGCGGCUGCCGAAUUGAGGAGGGUCUCAAAGUGUAGAGCUCAUUGUAUUCGGUCAUUUCUACUGAUUACAGGGUAUGUUUUACUGAUUACAGGGUAUGUUUUACUAUGAAUUGAACUUGCCAAUUUUUUCUUCAGACUUUUAUGAUAUUUCAUGUUGGUAUAUAUCUAUAUGCUUCAUAUUUUCUGUCCUCUUUUUUCUUUUUUGCUUGAUGGAAAUCUAAUUUGUGACUGAGCAUUGUCAAAGGAAAGAGAGAAACAGCAAAAACUAAUUCUAUGCUUAACCAAUUUUUCAUUUUCUAUAAUUAUCUGCUGCUUCUUCAUGUUUCCAACAAUCCAAAGUAGGGUCGCAAUCAUCCUUCAGUUGCCUCAUUUCCUCACAUUGUACAUUUAUAUUAUGAAAAUGAAAAUUGGUGAUUAACCUCUGUUUCAGAUGAAUCACAAACAUACACAUUACUUGUUGCUGGUUGUUGGUUGGUCUGGUUGUUGGUUGGUCUGGUUGUUGGUUGAUCUUGUUGUUGGUUGAUCUGGUUGCUGGUUGUUGGUUGAUCUGGUUGCUGGUUGUUGGUUGAUCUUGUUGUUGGUUGUUGCUGAUUUCAUUCCUUCUGUUUUUGUUCCUUCUGUUUUUGGUUGUUGGGUUCAGUCACUUGGAGUUCUAUGUGUGUUCAAAUUUUCCGCACUGUUUGUUGAUUAUGAUACUGUUUGUGGGUGUUUAAUUUAGGCUAUGAUGAUUGUCAAUUUUUCUGAGAUUAGCAACCUGCAAUAUCGGUUGAUAUUGCACUGGAUGGCUAACAAUGAUGACAUUGAACAAGUUCUGAGCCCACAGCCAUAAUUUGCAUAUACAUGUGGCUGAUUUAUUUGACAUGAUGUCAAGAAAUAUUUUCAAAUGAUUUUUUGCACAUAAAGUUCAACAUGCAUAAAUUAUCAAGAUCGAUGCUAUUUGCUAUGUUAUAUACUAAAAUAUGGCUAUUCAGACCGUUUAUAUGUUUUUAUAGGUUUCAGAAAUUUGUUUGGCUAAUUCAGGUACGUAUUUCAUAAAUUUAUGAAUAAUCAGGUUAUUACAGGUCUUGUUUAUUUUUUUCUUGGAAAACAGGUUUUGUGUGAUUAUUUUCAUCUCAAACAGGUAUAUUUCAUGUCAAAUCAGGUACGCAAUUCAUGUUACAGUAGGUUUCAUAUGAUUUUAGGUUUCGUAUGAUUUCAUUAAUACAAACAGAAAUUUAUAAUUCAUUCGGGAUAUUAUUAUUUGUUCAUGAUACAAACAGAAAUUUAUAAUUCUUAAUACUUACCAUGCUUGUCCCUGGAGCUAAAAUUGUUCCUGCAUACACACAUUUUGAGAUUAAGUACCUCAUCGCACGCUCUUUGAAUAUUAAUUGUUUUGGGUACAGGAACUCUCCAUUUUACUAUUCUUGGUGGAACACUAUUCCUCAAAUUGUUCCUGCUGGAUUCAUCUACUAACUGAUUUAGAUAAUAGCUUUAGAUAAUAGCUUGUACUAAGAAAUAUGAUACUCUACUUCGAUAACUCCUUGCCUUAUGCAUAACCGUUCUUCAUUUUGCAGCAUUCCUGGCUAUUAUGAGGCAUUCUGGAAGGAGGUGGAUGAUGUUAAACAAAUCUGGAAGAACAGAAAGGAACUCAAAUAGAUUAUUAAUCAUGUAUCGAUGAAUUAUACAUUCUUUCCUAGCAGUGUCAUAGCCAUUGUAAAUAAUUUAUGUAAACGUUUAUAAAUAAUUUAUGUAUCUCUACUAUUUUGGUGAA